AUUGAACGCUGGCAGCAGGCCUAACACAUGCAAGUCGAGCGGCAGCGGAAAGUAGCUUGCUACUUUGCCGGCGAGCGGCGGACGGGUGAGUAAUGUCUGGGAAACUGCCUGAUGGAGGGGGAUAACUACUGGAAACGGUAGCUAAUACCGCAUAAUGUCGCAAGACCAAAGAGGGGGACCUUCGGGCCUCUUGCCAUCAGAUGUGCCCAGAUGGGAUUAGCUAGUAGGUGGGGUAACGGCUCACCUAGGCGACGAUCCCUAGCUGGUCUGAGAGGAUGACCAGCCACACUGGAACUGAGACACGGGCCAGACUCCUACGGGAGGCAGCAGUGGGGAAUAUUGCACAAUGGGCGCAAGCCUGAUGCAGCCAUGCCGCGUGUAUGAAGAAGGCCUUCGGGUUGUAAAGUACUUUCAGCGGGGAGGAAGGUGCUGAGGUUAAUAACCUCAGCAAUUGACGUUACCCGCAGAAGAAGCACCGGCUAACUCCGUGCCAGCCGCCGCGGUAA
rnacentral:rRNA from 1 species